UUCCGGUUGAUCCUGCCGGACCUGACUGCUAUCGGAUUGAUACUAAGCCAUGCGAGUCUUUGUAGUAAUACAAGGCAUACGGCUCAGUAACGCGUAGUCAACCUACCCUAUGGACAAGAAUAAUCUCGGGAAACUGAGCAUAAUUCUUGAUAGAUCAUAAUGCCUGGAAUGGUUUAUGGUUAAAAUGAUUCGUCGCCAUAGGAUGGGACUGCGGCCUAUCAGCUUGUUGGUGAGGUAAUGGCCCACCAAGGCGAUAACAGGUACGGGCUCUGAGAGGAGAAGCCCGGAGAUGGGUACUGAGACAAGGACCCAGGCCCUAUGGGGCGCAGCAGGCGAGAAAACUUUGCAAUGUGCGAAAGCACGACAAGGUUAGUCCGAGUGAUUUCUGCUAAAGAGAUCUUUUGCUAGUUAUAAAACCACUAGUGAAUAAGGGGUGGGCAAGUUCUGGUGUCAGCCGCCGCGGUAAAACCAGCACCUCAAGUGGUCAGGAGGAUUAUUGGGCCUAAAGCAUCCGUAGCCGGCUCUGUAAGUUUUCGGUUAAAUCCAUGUGCUCAACGCAUGGGCUGCCGAAAAUACUGCAUAGCUAGGGAGUGGGAGAGGUAGACGGUACUCGGUAGGAAGGGGUAAAAUCCUUUGAUCUAUUGAUGACCACCUGUGGCGAAGGCGGUCUACCAGAACACGUUCGACGGUGAGGGAUGAAAGCUGGGGGAGCAAACCGGAUUAGAUACCCGGGUAGUCCCAGCUGUAAACGAUGCAGACUCGAUGAUGCAUUGGCAUAUAGCCAGUGCAGUGUCGCAGGGAAGCCGUUAAGUCUGCCGCCUGGGAAGUACGUACGCAAGUAUGAAACUUAAAGGAAUUGGCGGGGGAGCACCACAAGGGGUGAAGCCUGCGGUUCAAUUGGAUUCAACGCCGGG
rnacentral:rRNA from 1 species